GGAGGACCAGAGAAGCACACAGUAUUUGAGACACAGAUCAGGCCUAGAAGAUGGACAAGAUCUGGUGAUAAUGAUCUUCUGUCAGUCUGACGUUGAUUUAAAAGCUUCGAAGUGUCAGAAAUGACAAAAGUGAGGAAAUACGAAAAGAGAAAAUUAGUUAGAGAACAUUUGUUAGACAAGUGUCAAAUACUCAGAGAAACCCUAAACCACCUAAAAAUUGUUAUGAAAAUCUAGACAAGCUUUUUCUGAAACAAUCCACAGACUAACCACUCACAGCCUCACUGGAGAUCUGAGAUGCCAUAAUUCAAAUCCCAGCUCAAGCUAAGUCAUACCAGCAACUGGAUCUCCCAC
rnacentral:lncRNA from 1 species